rnacentral:tRNA from 1 species
UCCCUGGCAGUCCAGUGGUUAGGGCUCUGUGCUUUCACUGCUGACAGCCUGGGUUCAAUCCCGGUCAGGGAA